CCUACGGGAGGCAGCAGUGAGGAAUAUUGGUCAAUGGACGAGAGUCUGAACCAGCCAAGUAGCGUGAAGGAUGACUGCCCUAUGGGUUGUAAACUUCUUUUAUAAAGGAAUAAAACGAGGCACGUGUGCCUUUUUGCAUGUACUUUAUGAAUAAGGAUCGGCUAACUCCGUGCCAGCAGCCGCGGUAAUACGGAGGAUCCGAGCGUUAUCCGGAUUUAUUGGGUUUAAAGGGAGCGUAGAUGGGUUGUUAAGUCAGUUGUGAAAGUUUGCGGCUCAACCGUAAAAUUGCAUUUGAUACUGGCAGUCUUGAGUACAGUUGAGGUAGGCGGAAUGCGUGGUGUAGCGGUGAAAUGCUUAGAUAUCACGAAGAACCCCGAUUGCGAAGGCAGCUUACUAAACUGUGACUGACGUUGAUGCUCGAAAGCGUGGGUAUCGAACAGGAUUAGAUACCCUAGUAGUC
rnacentral:rRNA from 1 species